rnacentral:rRNA from 1 species
UACAGAGGGUGCAAGCGUUAAUCGGAAUUACUGGGCGUAAAGCGUAUGUAGGUGGUUUUUUAAGUCAGGUGUGAAAUCCCUGGGCUCAACCUAGGAAUUGCAUUUGAUACUGGAAAGCUUGAGUGCGGUAGAGGGUAGUGGAACUCCAGGUGUAGCGGUGAAAUGCGUAGAUAUCGGGAAGAACACCAGUGGCGAAGGCGGCUACCUGGACUGACACUGACACUGAGAUACGAAAGCGUGGGGAGCAAACAGGAUUAGAUACCCUGGUAGUCCACGCCUUAAACGAUGGAUACUAGUUGUCGGGAAGUUUAACUUCUUGGUGACGCAGCUAACGCAAUAAGUAUCCCGCCUGGGGAGUACGGCCGCAAGGUUAAA